rnacentral:ncRNA from 2 species
CUAUAUAACAAAGCGCCAGAACUUAAGUGAGUCUCUGAAUCUUUGAUUCAGUCAGACGAACUUACUCAGCGAACGGAUGUGAGUCGAGCAAGUGAAAGUCUCUGAAUCUUCGAUUCAGUUAGACGAACUUACUCAGCGAGUGAAUGAGAGUGGAACAAUUGGUUCUCUGAAUCUUUGGCUCAGUCAGUUAAAUUUACUCGGUGAGUAAAUAUAAGUGGAUUUUCUUUAUUGGAAACACACGCUUAAGUUGACGAGGACAGGGAGAAUCGAAAUUUCGGCGGAUGCCCUGCGGUAUGGUACUACCGGAAACCUAGUGAAAAGCAAAAAGCGAUUUUUGGUACAAACUCUAGGAGGUACCUAA